rnacentral:tRNA from 1 species
UCCCUAUUGGUCUAACGGUUAGGAUUUCAGACUUUCACUCUGGCGGCCGGGGUUCGAUUCCCCGAUAGGGAA